rnacentral:rRNA from 1 species
UGCUUAACACAUGCAAGUCGAACGGAAAGGCCCUGCUUUUGUGGGGUGCUCGAGUGGCGAACGGGUGAGUAACACGUGAGUAACCUGCCCUUGACUUUGGGAUAACUUCAGGAAACUGGGGCUAAUACCGGAUAGGAGCUCCUGCUGCAUGGUGGGGGUUGGAAAGUUUCGGCGGUUGGGGAUGGACUCGCGGCUUAUCAGCUUGUUGGUGGGGUAGUGGCUUACCAAGGCUUUGACGGGUAGCCGGCCUGAGAGGGUGACCGGCCACAUUGGGACUGAGAUACGGCCCAGACUCCUACGGGAGGCAGCAGUGGGGAAUAUUGCACAAUGGGCGGAAGCCUGAUGCAGCAACGCCGCGUGCGGGAUGACGGCCUUCGGGUUGUAAACCGCUUUCGCCUGUGACGAAGCGUGAGUGACGGUAAUGGGUAAAGAAGCACCGGCUAACUACGUGCCAGCAGCCGCGGUGAUACGUAGGGUGCGAGCGUUGUCCGGAUUUAUUGGGCGUAAAGGGCUCGUAGGUGGUUGAUCGCGUCGGAAGUGUAAUCUUGGGGCUUAACCCUGAGCGUGCUUUCGAUACGGGUUGACUUGAGGAAGGUAGGGGAGAAUGGAAUUCCUGGUGGAGCGGUGGAAUGCGCAGAUAUCAGGAGGAACACCAGUGGCGAAGGCGGUUCUCUGGGCCUUUCCUGACGCUGAGGAGCGAAAGCGUGGGGAGCGAACAGGCUUAGAUACCCUGGUAGUCCACGCUGUAAACGGUGGGUACUAGGUGUGGGGUCCAUUCCACGGGUUCCGUGCCGUAGCUAACGCUUUAAGUACCCCGCCUGGGGAGUACGGCCGCAAGGCUAAAACUCAAAGGAAUUGACGGGGCCCCGCACAAGCGGCGGAGCAUGCGGAUUAAUUCGAUGCAACGCGUAGAACCUUACCUGGGUUUGACAUGGAUCGGGAGUGCUCAGAGAUGGGUGUGCCUCUUUUGGGGUCGGUUCACAGGUGGUGCAUGGCUGUCGUCAGCUCGUGUCGUGAGAUGUUGGGUUAAGUCCCGCAACGAGCGCAACCCUUGUUCACUGUUGCCAGCACGUUAUGGUGGGGACUCAGUGGAGACCGCCGGGGUCAACUCGGAGGAAGGUGGGGAUGACGUCAAGUCAUCAUGCCCCUUAUGUCCAGGGCUUCACGCAUGCUACAAUGGCUGGUACAGAGAGUGGCGAGCCUGUGAGGGUGAGCGAAUCUCGGAAAGCCGGUCUCAGUUCGGAUUGGGGUCUGCAACUCGACCUCAUGAAGUCGGAGUCGCUAGUAAUCGCAGAUCAGCAACGCUGCGGUGAAUACGUUCCCGGGGCUUGUACACACCGCCCGUCAAGUCAUGAAAGUUGGUAACACCCGAAGCCGGUGGCCUAACCGUUGUGGGGGAGCCGUCGAAGGUGGGACUGGUGAUUAGGACUAAGUC